rnacentral:snRNA from 1 species
AUUGCUUCUUGGUCUUUUGGCUAAGAUCUAGUGUGGUAUCUGUUCUUAUCAGUUUAAUAUCUGAUAUGUCCUCUAUGCAAGAACAAUAUAUUAAAUGGAUUUUUGAAGCUGGGAGAUGGAAUAGAAACUUACUCUGUCUACUCCACGUAUCGACCUGGUAUUGCAGUACCUCCAGGAAUGGUGUACCUCCU